UCCCUGAUAGCUCAGAUGGUAAAGAAUCUGCCUGCAAUGCAGGAGACCUGGGUUUGAUCCCUGGUUUGGAAA
rnacentral:tRNA from 1 species